rnacentral:lncRNA from 1 species
UUUAGUCCAUUGCCAAGCAAAAUCUUUCUUUUGUGUCCCAUCACUAGAACUCAUUGUGCUGCCUACAACACACGUACACACCAUUAACAAAGGCAAUCUAUACUUAGACAAAACCAGCACACCAUUUACAGGCAGCUUCUUGUAAAUGCUGCCUGCAACACACCAUGACAAAAGCAACCUCUCUUUAGACAAAACCAACACACCAUUUACAGGCAGCUUCCUGUAAAUGCUGCCUGCAACACACCAUUAACAAAGAUAAUCUAUACUUAGACAAAUUCACAAAACCAACACAGAGUUGUGAGCAUUUACAGGAAGCUUGCUCUAAUGAGUCCAAUCUAUACUUAGAUAAUCAGAGCACAAUGUUGCAUCAUAUACUAAGAAAACACAAUUCACAACACUGACAAGUGACAACAGUCCAAUUGAAUCAGAAAUUCAGAGGAAGAGGUGCGUACUGCACUACUGCAUACCUCAAAUUAGAGGUGAGUUGGUGACUGCAAUGCGAGGCUUAGGAGGAAGAAGACAACGACAACGAAGAGGCGGUGGUCGACUGGUCAGAUGGUCGGAAUCCUGGUGGUGGUCGAUGGUAUGGUCGAUGGUCGGAUGGUUUGUGCCUCUGUGGUGGUCGCGAUUCGCGAACUGGGGGAAUCUUGGUGGUGGUUGAUUGUGUGUCUGUCUUCGAGAGGAAGAGGGAGAGGGGUGUUCGAGAGGAAGAGGGAGAGGGAGAGGGAGAGGGAGGAGGGAGAUCGGGAGCAGGGAGCAGGGAAGGAGGGCGAAAUACAGAGGGAGGCGCACAACCCCCAGCUUAUGCGAAAUACUUACCCAAAACGACCCCGUUUUUAGUUGCUUCAACUAGGCGCACGCCUUAUGCGCCUUAGGGUGCGUUUUUUGCGCCUUAUGCGCCUUAGGGGUGCGUUUUUUGCGCCUCUGCGCCUAACCUGCAAAACACAAUGAAAUUUUCCUGCGCCUCACGCCUUUUAAGCCUCAAGGCGCGCCUGAGGCGCGUUUUUUAAAACAUUGCUUAGGACAGAUAGUUUCCCAGUAAUCCUCCCUAGCGACUUUUACAGUCGUAGUUGUAGUACUAGUGUACUACUAUUGCUCAUGUCAAGAAUUUUGUAAGAGUUCUCUAAAUGUACGUAGCAAAAUCCUUUUGCACAAAUGUUACACACUAAGCAAUUUAUAAAACUCUUGAAGUGCACCCAGCAAAUACAGAACGCAGCUACACUACACCUGGUAUAUAUCCUCAUUUAUUUAUAUUUAAUCAAGUCCAUAGUUCCCCCAUUCCCCUCAUCUUGUUCCAUGGAGAUUUCGUGUUGCUUGGGAUAAUUGCAUGUAUCGUGUCUCGCAAAUGCAAUUUCGGUGUUCUCAUAUAUUCAGAGAAGGGAAUCAGGUAGCAGAUGCACUAACAAACUUCGGUUUAUCUUCUUCAGACUUGGUUUAUUGUGACUCAAUCCCCCAAUUCCUUAUGAAUCUAUGCCUUCAGGAUCAACUCGGUUUACCUCAUUUUCGCUUUUUUCACUGAUUUUCUUUCAGUGUUGUUUUCUCUUAUAGGUUAUGUUGUUUUGUUCUUUGUUGGAAGGGGUUUUGUUAAGCCCCCUUCCCUUCUGUUCCUGACUUUCUUUUUCUUAAUAAAUGGAGUUCAGCUCCUUUUAAUCAAAAAAAAAAAAAANAAAAAAAUACAAGUCCAUAGUUCCCUAUUUCUUCUGACCUGAUCCGUGUAUUUGAAGACAACUCUCGCAUCGUCUCGAUCAUACUUGGUAGUCAGGCUAUUGGGACAACUAUUUAAUCAAAUCCAUAGUUUCCAUUCUUUCUCUUCUACAAGCAGGUUUUUGAUGUUGGGAACCCAGAUAGUGAAAACAGUACCCCUUAUGAUACAAAUAUCUUCAAAAUAAAAAGAGAACUUG